rnacentral:rRNA from 1 species
CCUACGGGAGGCAGCAGUGGGGGAUAUUGUACAAUGGGGGGAACCCUGAUGCAGCGACGCCGCGUGGGUGAAGAAGCGCCUCGGCGCGUAAAGCCCUGUCAGCAGGGAAGAAAAUGACGGUACCUGAAGAAGAAGCCCCGGCUAACUACGUGCCAGCAGCCGCGGUAAUACGUAGGGGGCAAGCGUUAUCCGGAUUUACUGGGUGGCAAGGGGGCGCAGACGGCGAUGCAAGCCAGGGGUGAAAGCCAGGGGCCCAACCCCGGGACUGCUCUUGGAACUGGGUGGCUGGAGUGCAGGAGGGGCAGGCGGAAUUCCUGGUGUAGCGGUGAAAUGCGUAGAUAUCAGGAGGAACACCGGUGGCGAAGGCGGCCUGCUGGACUGCAACUGACGUUGAGGCCCGAAAGCGUGGGGAGCAAACAGGAUUAGAUACCCUUGUAGUC